rnacentral:rRNA from 1 species
CCUACGGGAGGCAGCAGUGGGGAAUAUUGCACAAUGGGGGAAACCCUGAUGCAGCGACGCCGCGUGAGUGAAGAAGUAUCUCGGUAUGUAAAGCUCUAUCAGCAGGGAAGAAAAUGACGGUACCUGACUAAGAAGCCCCGGCUAACUACGUGCCAGCAGCCGCGGUAAUACGUAGGGGGCAAGCGUUAUCCGGAUUUACUGGGUGUAAAGGGAGCGUAGACGGUAAAUCAAGUCAGAAGUGAAAUCCCAGGGCUUAACCCCGGAACUGCUUUGGAAACUGUGCAGCUGGAGUGCAGGAGAGGUAAGCGGAAUUCCUAGUGUAGCGGUGAAAUGCGUAGAUAUUAGGAGGAACACCAGUGGCGAAGGCGGCUUACUGGACUGUAACUGACGUUGAGGCUCGAAAGCGUGGGGAGCAAACAGGAUUAGAUACCCGAGUAGUC